CCUACGGGAGGCAGCAGUAGGGAAUUUUCGUCAAUGGGCGCAAGCCUGAACGAGCAAUGCCGCGUGAACGAAGAAGGUCUUCGGAUCGUAAAGUUCUGUUGAAGGGGAAAAAGAGCGGAGAGAGGAAAUGAACUCCGAUUGAUAUUACCCUUCGAGGAAGUCACGGCUAACUACGUGCCAGCAGCCGCGGUAAUACGUAGGUGGCGAGGGUUAUCCGGAAUGAUUGGGCGGAAAGGGUGCGUAGGCGGCCUGCUAAGUCUGGAGUGAAAGGUACCGGCUCAACCGGUACAGGCUCUGGAAACUGGCGGGCUAGAGAGCAGGAGAGGGCGGUGGAACUCCAUGUGUAGCGGUAAAAUGCGUAGAUAUAUGGAAGAACACCAGUGGCGAAGGCGGCCGCCUGGCCUGUUACUGACGCUGAGGCACGAAAGCGUGGGGAGCAAAUAGGAUUAGAUACCCCAGUAGUC
rnacentral:rRNA from 1 species